rnacentral:lncRNA from 1 species
UUUUGGUGAAACUUCCGGCCACUCUCGCUGCCAGCGGCAGAACGGUAAUACUACCGUUUCAAAGUUUUGAAAUUCAAAGUCACCAAAAUUUCCGCCAAAAAAUGCCCUAAUUCGCACCUAUAAAUAUCAGCGUUUGUGAAGCUUGAGCUCCCUUUUUUAACCUUUGUUUAGCCGCCAUCCCUACCUCUCAAAAUUUCCUUCUUUUAAAUCUCUCAGUUCUGUUGUUUUUUAACCAAACCAGAAGCAUUUUUUAUUUAUUUAUCCCGGCGAUUAACGUUGGUUCGAGGUAGCAAGUCCGAGGCCGGAGUUUGAUAGUGCACCUUAGAUCUCCACCUCAGUUCACUGCCCUAAAGCAGGUCCGUGAUUACUAUCUUCUUUUCGAUUCAAAAUUUAAAUGUGGUCAUAUUCUGUGCGUGUUGUGAAAUAAUUUUAGCUUCUCGUUUUGCUUUUGUGUUUCGCCUAUCCUAAAUAAAUUCCAGUAUGCUGCUUGUUAACUUCCGUUAAUUUGUUAUCUCAAACCAUAUCUUUAAGAAAAUAUAUAUUCUGGCCAUGUCACUAAAACACAAUUGAUCAAUAUUAAACAAAAAUCUGGUGAGCAUCUUACUUGUGUAAUAAUGCUCUGGGUCUCGCGGACUAGCUCGUCGUAACAGUAUGUUUGGUCUCUUAACAAUAAAUACCAGCAUGUCUUAUCCUCUGCUUAACCGAUUAUAUGUUUAUAUCUACCUCUGCAUAAAAGACAUGUUUUAAGAUUUCAUCUUUAGUUAACCAAAUUUAUCUGUCAUAAAGGAGGUGUUAAAGCCGUAAAGUGAGUAGAAAUCGUGUCUAUAGGAUUUAAAUACUAAGUAUUAGAUUUUCCAUCAUCUAGAGACCGUGCCUCUAGAAAAAUAUAUUCUGACAUUAUAAUGUUAAAGCAUGUCUAAAAUUGUUAUCAUAUUUGUUAAAAUGAUCAAUGAUGCUAUGUUUACACUUUGUUAGAAACCAAUUUUUAGGCAUUUUUCUUGUUUCUGUUUAUUAUAUGUGUUAGUGUUUGUCUAAGCAUUUAGUUUUCUCCCUGUAGACUUAAAACUAACAAGAACCUCAAAAGGGUAAUUGCUGGACAGAAUUUAGUGUAGCACUUGAAUUUAAGAGCAUAUUUUCUUUAAUACUACAAUCCAGUUAUAGUAUUUCUAAGUCUCAAGUUCAUCAAUAAUGACGAACGGCCUUUCCUUGUCCAAAACUGAAUAUCCAGAUAUGAAGAACAUCUAGCUAUUAUGGGUUAAGUUUUUAUCUGUUUUUAGUCGCACUCUAAAAGGGGUUUAUACUUGAAAUUUUAAAAUAUUUUUUAAGUUCAUAUAAUUGCCCAUGCAUUUCAUUAUCUGUUAUACAUAGGUAAUAUAAGUUUCAUGGUAGCAUAAAUGAUGGUAGUAAUAUGAGAUGAUGAGCUAUGAGUGUACUAUUAACUUAUUUAGAUAACUGGAACAUCAAUAUGACUUGAACUGAUUCUGCUUAUUAUUAACCUCUGCUCUUUAGCAUUAUAGGAAAUAGAUUUCUCUCUUCCCAAUUCUUGUUUUAUUCUCUCUUUCGCAUAUGCACCUGGAGCAAAAUGGAGUCUCACUGAGACUCAACAUCACCCCACCAUGGAGUCAUCACAUCCCGUACCAUCUUUCAUAGAGUGCACCAGAUAGCGAGAAAACAAGCAAAACGCUUGGGGACGCCCAUGGCGUCCUUCUUUUAUUUCUUUUGCCAUUUCAUUGUAUCUUCCUUUUUAUUUAUGUGUUUUGAGGUUUAUCCCUAUUUUGGGAUUUUGUUUUUUUGGAGCUCAUUAUUAACAUAGGAUUAAAUAGCUAUGUCUUAUUAAAUCACAUAGUAUCUCCACUCUAGUUAUUAGUUUGCUAUACUAAUUUUUUAAAGUCAAGAGUUUGAAAAUAAUUUGCUAUACUAAUUUUUUAAUAAAGGACGUUAGAUUUAGGAGGCAUCAUUUGUAAAUCAGUCUUAAACCAAGUUCCUUAGCACUUAACAGUCAGAUUUCUUAAUACAAAAUUUGAAUCAAAUAUUUAAAAGAAGUGAAACCAUAUUUUCGUAAAACUUUUCUUUGAAAACAAGUUCUUACAAAACGAUAGGUUUUCUUUAAUCAGAUUUUGAUGGCUUUCUAUUUUUACUUAUUAAUUAACAACCUAAGUUGGCCGGUUAACCGUAAUUAGCGGAUCAUAUAGGGUGCCUUAAUAACCUUUCCUAUAGGAUUAAUUGAGUUCACUUUAAGCAGGAUUUAGCUAAAAUUGGUGUCCUAAUUCGCCGUUAAAAUAAUUAGGUGGCGACUCUCUUUAAUUAAUUAAACCCUGGUCUUUCCAAUAUGUUAUACUUUGUUUUGACCCGUGUUAAAAUGGGGUAUAACAAUGUGGAACCUUGGGCUAUUUGUUGUGAAAUGAAUUGAUUUUAUUGUAUCUUUGGAAUUGGUUGUGGCCUAUGGGUAAUUUGUGAUAUGAAUUAUUGUAUUGUGUUGUAGUGAUAAUACUCGGUGUAAAUUGUUAUAUGAUUUGGGUUACUGUUAUGUGGUGUAUCCACUAUUGAUAUUAUGUGCGUAUAAGGGUGACAUUUCACUGUAGUUAUGUGUGUUGGGAUAUUGUCAAGGCGGAGUGAUAUGGGUGGCUAUUAUUAUGGAGUGAUACAUGUGGCUAUAGGAGAGAUAAGAGUGACUAUUGUCAGGGAUGAUACGUGAUGAUGUGAGAUUAUUGUGUUGGUGAUUUUUAUAUGAUUUUGUGAUUUUUCUGGUGUUUACGUUUUGUUGUUUCGGUAAACUUGAUAAUAAACUGAUUCAUGUUGAAAUUGUGAGUCUGUGGCUAUUGCCGGGCGAUUUAUAUUAUUGGCACGUGAGUUGUCCUUGCGGUUAUGAAAGAAAUAUGGGCAUGGGGUGCCGGGAAAAUAUGAUGAUUUUAUUAUUGGCACGUGAGUUGUCCGUGCGGCUGUGAUAGAAAUAUGGGCACGAGGUGCCGUGAAAAUCUGAAAGUGGGCUGAGACCCGUAAAGAGUGUGAAAUGAGGUGUCACAUUGUGACUUUUAUUUGAAAGAAUUAUAUUCGAAAGAUUUUAUUUGGAAGAAUUAUAUUUGAAGGAUUUCACUUUAAAAGAAUUAUAUUUGAAAGAUAUUUAUUUGAAAGAAUUAUGAUUGAAAGAUAUUUAUUUGAAAGAAUGAUAUUCGUAAGAUAUUUAUUUGAAGGAGGUAUAUUCGAGAUAUAUUUAAUUGAAAGAAUUAUAUUCUAAAGAUUUUUAUUCGAAAAACUUAUAGAUAAAAGAUGCAUAUUUUGAAGGACUUGAUUAGUUGGUUGUGCUUGUGUCAUUAUUCACUACAACAUAAUGCAUUUAUAGCUACAAAACACAACAUAGCAAAUUAUGAAAAUUUCCGAGGCUAAACAUUUUAGUCACAAUAUAUUUUUCCGUAGCAUCGUAGCAAAAUGUAGCGUAGCUAAAAGUUAGUUACAAACUUUACAUGAUACGUGGCUAAAGAUUAAUACUUAUUGCUUCAUAGCAAAUAAUUUUUAUACUUUUGCCAUGAUAAAUAUAUUUAUAGCAAAUGAUUUUACACUCUUGCCACAACAAAUUAAUUUGUAGCUAUUUUUAUAUGGUAGCCACAAAGUGAUAUAGCGUGGCAAAAGAUUUAAAUUUAUUUGCCACGGAAGUUUAGAUAUGUUAUGCUUUCAUAUAUUAGUUCGUGGCAAAAAUAUUUUUGUUUAGCUACGAAUAAAAAGUUUUAUGCUACAAAUCAUACAAAACAAUCGAGGUUAGAUUAUUUUAUUAUUAUUUUUGACAGAAUAUUGAUUUUAGUAGCGAUGAAAGUUCCUAUCACCCUGUUUCUUCGUUAUUUUAUUUUUGUCUAAAAAUUUUCAAUUAUUCUAUGGAUGUGCAUGUUAUAUUAAAACUAAUAGUAAUAACAUAUUAGCUUGAGAAAUAACUUAUUACACAAAUUGACAUUUUAAAAUUUUCACUAAAUAAAUUUCAAGAUACACAUUUAUAUUAAUCAAUUAAUAGCAUCUGCAGUACAUAGCUCUUUUACAAAAAACUAAAAUUUGAAGAAAAGAACUAGCCGAUGUGAGGCUUGAUGGUAAUAGAGAUCAGAAAUAAUGUACGGCAUUCCACAUUAAACGAAGAUAAGCAUUUGUUUGAUGAUUCAUAUAGUCCACCCCGUUUGAUCUUGAUGAUUUAUUUUGCCACCCUCAAUGCACCAGUUGAUCUUUAUGCAUCCAAGAACAUAUGAAGCACUUUCCGUAAUUACUAGAAUGAAAUAUAAAAUAUAAUGAUCUUGUGAGAAAUUUAUAUUUGAAUUAUCAGAACAUAUACCAGUUAGAUGCAUAUACCAGUUCAAUGAAUCACGGAAUAAGCAAAAACUUAGCCACGAAUCAGGUGCAAAAAAGAUCUAAACUUGUUUCAACACAAAAAGGAAAAAAAAAAGCAUUUAAAUAAACAUCAUAAAACUUAAGAAGGUGGAAUAAAGAAGAAAAACUUACGGUUAGUGUCACGACCCAAAAUCCAACUAGUUAUGAUGGCACAUAACCCGACCCGUUAGGUCUAUCCAAUUCCAAUAAUAAUUAUUAAAGCAAUUUAAGUAAAUAAAGGUCUUAAUCUUAUACAAUCCUCAAGAACUGGUAGUACAAAUCAUGAGCUUCUAAGAAUAGAGUUUACAAAGCGGAAAUGAAAUAAAUACAUAAUCUGUUUGAAUAAUACAUAAACAGAGCUUUCAUAAAUUUAAGGCUACCAUGAACAAGAGGCAGCUACAACAGGAAUGCAGGUAUAUCUUCAAAUCCGGCAACCAUCGAGCACAGCAACAACAACAUCCAAUAUCUGCACGCAAUGUGCAGAAGUGUAGUAUCUACACAACCGACCCCAUGUACUGAGUAAGUAACAAACCUAGCCUUAGGUUGAAAGUAGUGACGAGCUUCCACCAAGGUCUGGUCCAAAACCAAUAGUCCACAACAGUCCAUAACAACGUAAAGUAGAUAAUACCAAAAGUAACUCAGAAAUAAAAUGCUCAGCUAAAUAAUGAUUUCAAAGAUAAUAGUUCUUUCUUUCAAGUACAUCAGUGAAAACCCAAUUCGUUUACCGAACUUGCCAAAAAUAUGAAUAAGUUUGAAAACAAUAAUUUUUCCAAAAUCCUUUAAAUAAUAAAUGAGAUGUUUCAUUUUCUUUCGAGAUAACCCGUGUAAAAACAAAUGCAUCACUAUGCCCAUCUGUCAAAAAUGUGUGAAAAAUCAUGAAUGAUGUGAUGCUGUACAGCAUGAGGAAAAUAUAUCUCUAUGCCUGUAUGUCAUGUGUGCAUGCCAAUGCGGUGCAACUCAGUGAUAAAAUCAUAAACAACCCCUCGGGCAGACCUCACAAUCACUCGUAUACAGCCCCCUGGCUUACCUCACAAUCACUCGUAUACAACCCUUCGGGCUUACCUCACAAUUACUCAAAAACAGCCCCUCGGGCAUACCUCACCAUCUCUCACGCCUCCCAGUCACUCAACACUCGGUACUCAGCACUCGCACUCAGUAGGUACCUGCGCUCAAUGGGGGUGUGUACAGACUCCGGAGGGGCUCCUACAGCCCAAGCGCUAUAAUUUGCACGGACAACUCACGUGCUAUAAUAUCAUAUCAGAAUCCGCACAGACAACUCAUGUGCCAUAAUAAGCCAAUAAGGCAUGCUGCAGGCGGGUAACCCCGAUCUAUAUAAUAGUAAUAAUAUAUAUAAAUCCAACAUGGCCUGCUGCGACGUGCAGUCUGAUNNNNNNNNNNNNNNNNNNNNNNNNNUAUAACAGAGACUGAGAUAUGAUAUGUAGUGAAAUGAAUAUGACUGAGUAUAAAUUUUCAAUUUAAAAUAAAUAAUUCACAACAAUAUGACAUAUGUGGGUCCCAAAAUACUGGCACAUAGCCUCAACAUAAUUUUUAAUAUGCUUGUCAGCUCAGUUUCUUUAACACAUAAAACCGCAUGGAGAAUGCCAAGAUUAUUUAACUACAAAAUUUUACAGAAAUAAUUAUAUCACAAUUUCUAUAGUGCACGCCCACACGCCCACACGCCCGUCACCUCGCAUGUGCGUCACCUCCCAACGAUUCACAUAAUACAUACAUUCAGGGUUCAUACCCUCAGCUCCAUAAUUAGAAGGGUUACUUACCUCGAACAAGCCAAAUUUAAUGCCGAGCAAGCUAAACAAUGCUCCAGAAAUCCCAUUCUGCGCGUAUCCAUUUCUAAACAGCUCGAAUCUAGUCACAAUUAAUUUGAUUCAGCCCACGAAAAUUAUAGGAAUUUAUACCACAUCAAAAUACUAAUAUUUUUCAUAAAAUUCGAAAUUACGCCCCAAGAAUUAUCCGUAGGGCCCACGUCUCGAAAUCCGACGAAACUCACAAAAUACGAUAAUUCAUCCAAUUACAAGUUCAACCAUACUAAAUUCACUCAAUUCCGACUCCGAAUCGGUAUUCAAACUCGAAAAAUUCGUUUUGUGACAUUAUAGAAAUUUCCUUCUAUUUCUCUUGAAGAUUCAAUAAUCUUACACCAAAAAUGAAGAUUAAUUCAUGAAAUACAAGGGAGUCAAGAACACUUACCCCAAGUUGUGUGAAAAAAAUUCCUCUCCAAAAUCGCCCAAACCGUGCUCCAAAAUCCGAAAAUGGGUGAAAAUGUCGAACCCUCGAACUUAAAGGAUUCUGCCCAGUCGAUCCGCACCUGCGAACAAGAUUUGCACACUUGCGCCUCCGCUUGUGCGAGCAAAACGUCGCAUGUGCGGACUUCAUUUGCCUGCCCAGUUUGCACAUCUGCGAGGAAACCAUUGCAUUUGCGAGGCCGCAUCUGUGGGAAAGACAUCGCAGAUGCGAAAAUACCCAGCUUCCAGCCAUCUCGCUUCUGCGUGCAAUCUUCCAUAUCUGUGCUCACGCAGGUGCGAAAUUUCCCUCGCACCUGCGACCAAUGCCUCACAGUCCCUGCCCGCAUCUGCGCUUGCCAGGCUCGCUUCUGCGAGCUCGCACCUGCGAUGGAAUUUUCGCAGGUGCGAUUGCAUCGGAUGGCAGAAACUUCAGCUUUUUCUCCAAAGUCCGAAUUGAUCCGUUAGCCAUCCGAAACUCGCCCGAACCCCUCGGGAACCCCGAACAUACCAACAAGUCCCAUAACAUAACACAGAUCUACUCGAGGCCUCAAAUCACACCUAACAAUAUCGAAACGACGAAUUAUACCUCAAUUCAAAAUUAACGAACUUUGAACUUUCAAAUGCUACAUCUUGUGCCGAAACAUAUCAAAUCAAUCCAGAAUGACUUCAAAUUUUGCAUACAAGUCAUAUUUCACAUUACAGACCUAUUCCAAUUUUCAGAAUCGGAUUCUGACCCCGAUAUCAAAAAGUCAACCCCCGGUCAAACUUUCAAAAAAAUUCAACUUUCGGCAUUUCAAGUCUAAUUCCACUACGCAACUCCAAAUAAUUUUUCGGACACGCUCCUAAGUCCAAAAUCAUCAUACUGAGCUAUUGGAAUUAUCAAAACUCCAUUCCGGGGUCGUUUACAUAUAAGUCGACAUCCGAUUACUAGUUUAACUUAAGCUUUAAACCUUGGAACUAAAUAUUCCAAUUCAUUCCAAAACCUCACCGGAUUCGAAUCAAUUACCCCGACAAGUCACACAACAACUAUAAAGUACAAUUUGAGCAGUAAAUAGAAAAACAGGAUUGUAAUACUCAAAAUGACCAGCCGGGUCGUUACAGUUAGGCAUUAGAAGAGAAUACAAUUUCUCAAAGGCACUUUUUUCUUGAGCAUCCUGUAAAUCAAAAACAAACAAUUGAAGCAGAAACCCAAGUCAAUUAGGUGUAAGUCACAAAAUCUAUCAAAUCUUUAAAAUUGUACUCGCCACUUAUAAAAAAUAAGGCAUAAUAUCUAUCAAAUUGCUAGAAUAAUCCGUAUAAUUGAACUAAAAACCUCAAACUCAAGUAGGUGUAAGAAAAUUCAGAAAUACUAUGAUAUAGAGACAUGAUUUUACCUGGGAAGAAAAUUCAAAAAUACUAUGAUAUAGAGACAUGAUUUUACCUGGGAAGAGACGAACCAACAAGUUAAAAUUUCUGUCAAUAAAUGGAGAUCGCAAUGAGGAUACACUCUUGUUGAUCCUCUUUGUCUUUCUCGUAGUCUUGAAUUAAUGCCGACUACUAAUGGCAAAAGACAGAAAUAAGAAAGUGGGGAGGGAGAGUGGCGGCUGAGGGAGAAUUAGUUUAGGUUUUGGUUUAGGGUUUUAGUUUGUGUUUCUUUUAUUAUAUAUUUUGCUUUAUUUUACUUCUUAAUACAAAUACCAUAAAUAUAAGGGAAAAAAAAUACAAAUACCAUAAAUGCAAAUAAAAGUACCUAUAAUAAACCAAAAGAGUUACAUUUAACUAAAAUAGAAAAAAUCAACUAUUUGCAUGAAAUAAAGAUAUUCUAAAAUAUAUUUUUCUUACCAUUUUUUUCUUCCAAGAUGAUAUUGUUUGUUUUGUUAUACGUUCAUAUUUCAAUAAUAUUAGCUUCUUUAUUUUUAGUGUUAAAUUACAUUUAUGAUAAUUAUUAAGUUAUUAAAAUACUAUUAGAUCAUUAAAUCAAUAACUCUAAUACUUAUCUAAAAUGGAAUAUAACUAGCAAGCAAUAUAGAUAUAUACAAGCACAUAAUUGCUUAAAUGUAAUACAUUCAGAUAUUUAAAUUUAACUAAUUAUAAUUAUAUACUUAUUUAAAGUAUAUUUGAAACUUUCAAGUAAUAUUUUGUUUAGAAUGAAUUAUGAUAUUUAAUUAUUUACCAAAAAAUAAAUUAUUAUAUACUAUUUUGUUUUUGUUAUACACCCCCUAUAUCAGUCAUAUUAAGUUCUUAACUUUUAUACUAAAAUAAAUUUAACAAUGGUUAAAAUAUGUAACUAUUUUUAAAGGCAGGUUAUACUAAAAAAAAUAAGAGUAAUUAUAGUGAACAUACGACUAUUCUUAAAUAUAAAUAAUACUCACAAGAGAGACAAGAUCUCCUUCAUGUGUAAGAAUAAUAUUAAAAUUUUAAUUUUUAGAUUUAAUGUAUAAUUAAUUUAUGAUAAUUAAUAGUUAUUAAGAUAGUAAAUCCAUAUCAUUAUAACAUAUUUUAUUACCUAUAAAUAUAUAUAUAAUUAGUUAUACAAUGUAAUUGGUAUAAUACUACUGAUGUUUAAUUCUAUAUAUUUAAAAUGACUUCUUAAAUAUAUAUGAUUAAGUGCUUUAAAAUUAAUUAAGGACCAUAUACAUAAAUACUACAACAAUUAAAGUCUUCAAUAUGAAUACCUUUUUAGAAAAUGUAAGUACACUUAUUUAAAAAUAAUAAAGUAUAUACAUACAUAAAUAUCUAUAAAUAUUAAUAAUAAUUUAAAAUUUACAUAAAAAUUUAUAUAAUUAACAACAAGUGCAAUCAAAUAAAAUAUGAGUUUGAUAAGUCUAAGAAGUCAAUUGAUAAGUUUUGCUGCUAUAAGCAGGUAACAAAUGAUCUACCUAAGGUAAAUUAUAU